UACGGAGGGUGCGAGCGUUGUCCGGAAUUAUUGGGCGUAAAGAGCGCGUAGGCGGUCUGUUGCGUCCGCUGUGAAAACCCGGGGCUUAACCCUGGGCUGGCAGUGGAUACGGACAGACUAGAGGUAGGUAGGGGAGAAUGGAAUUCCCGGUGUAGCGGUGAAAUGCGCAGAUAUCGGGAGGAACACCGGUGGCGAAGGCGGUUCUCUGGGCCUUACCUGACGCUGAGGAGCGAAAGCGUGGGGAGCGAACAGG
rnacentral:rRNA from 1 species